CAGUAGCCGCGGUAAGACAGAGGAUGCAAGCGUUAUCCGGAAUGAUUGGGCGUAAAGCGUCUGUAGGUAGCUUUUCAAGUCCGCCGUCAAAUCCCGGGGCUCAACCCUGGACAGGCGGUGGAAACUACCAAGCUGGAGUACGGUAGGGGCAGAGGGAAUUUCCAGUGGAGCGGUGAAAUGCGUUGAGAUCGAAAAGAACACCAACAGCGAAAGCACUCUGCUGGGACGACACUGACACUAAGAGACGAAAGCUAGGGGAGCAAAUGGGAUUAGAUACCCCCGUAGUCCCUGUCUCUUAUAC
rnacentral:rRNA from 1 species